rnacentral:misc_RNA from 1 species
CAGUACCCAAAACCCUUGCUGUAACAUGGCUUCUACUGUUGACAGACCCAUCCUUGGCCAACCCGAAGUCACUGAGUUUAGCAUUAUAGUUCAAAUCAAGCAGGAUAUUGGAAGUCUUAACAUCUCGAUGUAUUGCGUGCACCUCAUGAUGGAGAAAUGCUAGAGCCUUAGCAAUGCUGAGAGCAACUUUUAUUCGUUGAUCCCAAGAGAGUAUUUGGAAGGUAGAAUCUC